rfam:Myotis lucifugus cont2.35657, whole genome shotgun sequence.
GGUGGUUCUUGGGUGACACAACCCAGAAUUGGGCUCCCUCCUCUCUGCUUCCGGGUGCAUCACCUGAGAACCGCC